rnacentral:rRNA from 1 species
GAUGAACGCUGGCGGCGUGCCUAAUACAUGCAAGUCGAGCGAACGGACGCGAAGCUUGCUUCUCUGAUGUUAGCGGCGGACGGGUGAGUAACACGUGGAUAACCUCCCUAUAAGACUGGGAUAACUUCGGGAAACCGGAGCUUAUCCCGGAUAAUAUUUUGAACCGCAUGGUUCAAAAGUGAAAGACGGUCUUGCUGUCACUUAUAGCUGGAUCCGCGCUGCAUUAGCUAGUUGGUACGGUAACGGCUUACCAAGGCAACGAUGCAUAGCCGACCUGAGAGGGUGAUCGGCCACACUGGAACUGAGACACGGUCCAGACUCCUACGGGAGGCAGCAGUAGGGAAUCUUCCGCAAUGGGCGAAAGCCUGACGGAGCAACGCCGCGUGAGUGAUGAAGGUCUUCGGAUCGUAAAACUCUGUUAUUAGGGAAGAACAUAUGUGUAAGUAACUGUGCACAUCUUGACGGUACCUAAUCAGAAAGCCACGGCUAACUACGUG